rnacentral:rRNA from 1 species
UAAUACCCCAUAGAUCAUGGCAUCUGGAAUGAGCUAUGGUUCAAAGUUCCGGCGCUUAAGGAUCGGUCUGCGGCCUAUCAGGUAGUAGUGGGUGUAAAGUACCUACUAGCCUAUGACGGGUAUGGGCCUUGAGAGAGGGAGCCCAGAGUUGGAUUCUGAGACACGAAUCCAGGCCCUACGGGGCGCAGCAGUCGCGAAAACUUCACACUGGGGGCAACCCCGAUGAGGGAAUUCCUAGUGCUAGCUCUUUUUGAGUUAGCUUUUCUUUAGCGUAGAUAACUAAAGGAAUAAGGGCUGGGUAAGACGGGUGCCAGCCGCCGCGGUAAUACCUGCAGCCCAAGUGGCGGCCGAUAGUAUUGAGUCUAAAACGUUCGUAGCCGGUCUGAUAAAUCUUUGGGUAAAUCGGGAAGCUUAACUUUCCGACUUCCGAGGAGACUGUCAGACUUGGGACCGGGAGAGGCUAGAGGUACUUCUGGGGUAGGGGUAAAAUCCUGUAAUCCUAGAAGGACCACCGGUGGCGAAGGCGUCUAGCUAGAACGGAUCCGACGGUGAGGGACGAAGCCCUGGGGCGCAAACGGGAUUAGAUACCCCGGUAGUCCAGGGUGUAAACGCUGCAGACUUGGUGU